GUACUUACUUCAGCAGCACAUAUACUAAAACUGGAAUGAUACAGAUAUUAGCAUGCCCCACAAAAAGAUGACAUGUAAAUUCAUGAAGCAUUCCAUACACAC
ensembl:snRNA U6 U6 spliceosomal RNA